rnacentral:rRNA from 1 species
GACGAACGCUGGCGGCGUGCUUAACACAUGCAAGUCGAACGGAAACGCCCUGCGUUUGUGGUGUGCUCGAGUGGCGAACGGGUGAGUAACACGUUAGUAACCUGCCCUUGACUUUGGGAUAACUUCAGGAAACUGGGGCUAAUACCGUAUAGGAGCUCCUGCUCCAUGGUGGGGGUUGGAAAGUUUCGGCUGUUGGGGAUGGACUCGCGGCUUAUCAGCUUGUUGGUUGGGUAGGUGCUUACCAAGGCUGUGACGGGUAGCCGGCACGUGAGGGUGACCGGCGACAUUGGGACUGCGAUACGGACCAGACUGCUACGGGAGACAGCAGUGGGGAAUAUUGCACAGUGGGCGGAAGCGUGAUGCGGCGGCGCCGCGUUCGGGAUGACGGCCUUCGGGUUGUAAAACGCUUCCGCCUGUGACGCAGCGUGAGUGACGGUACUGGAUAAAGAAGCACCGGCUAACUACGUG